AACCCAUAUAGAGGACACUUCCGUAAAAGCUCCUUGAACCUAUCUCUUGUCUCAAAAAGAGACUCCAAUUCCAUUUGCGCAAAGGUGGAUAUUUCAUUCCUGAGCUU